AGUCCUGCACAGCCAUCGGAAGCUCCGUGUCGGAGAGAAGGAAAAAGUGAUUGUAGGCUAGGCUGCAGUGCAAGUCUGGGCUGGGAAUAGUUAUUCAAGCUGGGUUAGCGUGUGACUUUUUUCCCCUCAAUAUUAAAGCAUGAUCAGGUGCAAAAUCAACCAGUGCCUUUAGAAUUGAAAUCCAUACACAAUGUCAACAGAUUACAUUAAACAUAGUGAACAUAGUCCAAUGGGGAAGGGUUACAGAAGAGUACAGGUGGUGUGGCCUAUGACUACAUCUUGAAGCCAGCUGCUGAUAAUGCUCCUAAAAUAUCUUCCCCUCCAAAGGAUAAACCUCUAACACAUGAUGAGAUCUUUGAGAAAUUGCAGAAAGCUGAGGCCAGAAGACAGUCUUUAGAAGCUCAAAAGCUAGAGUUUGUUGCCAAAGAAAAACAGAGAAUGCAGGAAGCCUUGAUGAAAUCCCAGAAAGAAGAGGAGGAGAAGGCUAAAGCUGCUCAGGCCAAACUCCGACGAUCCAUGGAAAUCACAAAGGAAAACCGUGAACUACAGAUAAUGAGUCUGCAAGAGAAACUCCGAGAACAUCUGGCCAAAGUACAGGAAGUAUGUAGAAAUAGUGAGAGUAUGAGCAAAGAGCUAGAGGAAAGACUUAUUCAAAAGUAUGAAGCUUAUGAAGAAAACCGCAAUAACCAGCUUCAGUCUGUUGUCAAGCGCCUACAGGACCAUGCAAAACAUAUUGAGGAAGUAUGCAAAGCUAGUGAAACUAUGAGCAAGACCUCUGAGGAGAAAAUUAUCCAGAAAAUGGAGAAUGCCCUAAAGAACCGUGAAGAGCAUUUUAAAGCACUGCAAGAAAGACUGAAAGAUCAUGAACGUAAAAUCGAGGAAGUUAGAAAAAACAAGAUGACCAUGUCUAACUGUUCCAUGGAGGGAAGUGUCAGCUGCUAGAUCUAGCUCUCGGUGCCAGGAAACACCAGCUUCUGUUGCCUAAGGAUUUACUUGUUUACUUGUUAGAGAGACCUGAAGGAAUAACUAAUAAACGAAUGGAGUGAGACACUCCCAAUCAAAAUAUGGACUAUCAAUGGAUGACUUAUUUACUCAAAUAUGGAUGUUUAAGAAAUACUGAUGUGACAUGAGCUUUUCAGAAAUAUUUUCUAUUAUUUUUUUUCUUUCCCAAAACUUUACCAGCAUGAGUUCUUAUAUGGAGAAUGUUAGUGCUAAGUGCUUUUACAUUUAAUAGUUGCUUUGUUGUAUGGAAAAAGAAAAUGAUGUUCGUGGACUUGUCUUUUGAAGAAAAAAAAAGUGCUACAAAAAUGUUUAACUUUGCAUAUUCUUGAGACAAUAUCUUCAAAACUUCACUGACUGUAUGCCUAUUCCAUUAUAUAGUAAUAGAUGUUCAUACCAGUAGUUGUUAAAUGCACUGAAUAGAAACAUGUAAAUCAUUUGAAGUGUGUAGUAUUGUGAUGCCUAUCAUGCUCAUUAUUUCAGUAUACAUGUAUUUGCAUUAUCCUUUUAUAAUAUAUUGCAGAAAUAGAUAGAAUUUUUAUGCUUAAAUUCAACUGAAUUUUUAUCAGUGAUAAGACUUAAUCUAUAAUUCAACAGCCUUUUUUCCUGUUUUGUUUAAUUUGAAAAUGGGUUUCAAUAUAAUGCAAGUGUAAUAUGUGUUAUUUAACAUCAUUACUAAAAAUGCAGAUUUAAAGUGUUGCCCAAGCAUUAUCUGGAAAAAAUAAUUGAUGGGAUGCUACCUGUGAUCUUGUUAUAUUUUCGAAUUUGCACAGGAAGUGGGUUACCGUGUAGCAGUUUUGUAGAAGAGUGUGCCGUGUUUAUAUGGCCAGUUUAAAGUUCAGCAGUUCAAUUAGAAUUGUUAAGUUUCCAGUGUACAUGUAUAUGGUAUAUGCGGUCUGCAGGAACGUGGAAUUUAGUUUUAGCUUUUGUAAUGUGGCUUGUCUCAAUUAAUAAAGCCUUAUUGUACUUC
rnacentral:misc_RNA from 1 species